rnacentral:piRNA from 1 species
AUGACUGGCUGGCUGACCACAGACC